UCCAUUGCGCGCUCGGAGAGGGGGAAGCAACAGCCUGGCAGUGGGCUGGGCUAUUUUAAGGCUCCCCGAGUCGGAAACUCGAAAGCAGCCCAAAGGGGUUAUUUUUAAACCUUUUCCUGGCCCGGCGCUUUGACGCGGGGAACUUCGUCGCGCUCCGUCUUCGGGGGCGUGGAUGUGAAGUGGCUCGCCCCGCACCGGCGCAGAUGACACGUACGGGCGGCCCUAGCCCGCGACUUCGCCCCUCUCGCUUGGCGCCCCCCUAAGGGCAGAUGGGUGCGCAGAGGCAGGGAUGUGAUUGAAAACAUUAUGAAAUAGAGCAGGACUGAAGUACCAAAGCCAGCAUGCCAAGGAUGGAGGACUUAGACGCUCCCUGCUUUGGCCCUUUGCUUGGGACUGCAGUAGCAACGAGGAAGCUGGCCGCAACACACCACUACUAGAAUUCAUUCAGCUUGGUGCAUCAUAUGCAUUUUGAGUGAUACACAGACAAAACAAAGGGCUUGGGUUGUGUACUAUAUGACUGCAUUUCUGUGCCCUUUUUCUGAAAGAUGGCUAGUGGUGUCAGUUUUUACAGGACUGAUCACCCAUUUGGAAAGAGUUGGCUGGAAUCCAAACCAUACCAGACUAUUAUAAUAUUUUAACACGUGUGCAAAUGCAGAUUUUGGGUGUGCUCAUGCCAAAUCAAAUGAUCUGGGAAGACUCGAUAUACCGUGUCCACUGCAGCGCUGUGCAGAGGCAUGGUAAGUGAUGGCAUUUUGUUUCAACAGCCAAUAUUGCUGCCAAAGGGUGCCUCUGAUCGCUGGGGGCAUUAGAAAGUGUAUGUGGAAUUAAGCAAGAACUUCAGCUCACAUCUGUUAUACUUCAGUUAAAUGAGUUCAGGCUAUUCAAUAUGAAAAAAACAGAUGAAUGAUGAUAUGAAAAUUGAUUCCUAUUUAAUAUUAUUACGGAAAACAAACAUAUUGCUUUUCAGACCAAAGAACUUUAAUAAAUAAAAAAAAUGAAUGACACUAAAUCAAAAGUGCUUGUUAUAUCCAUCAGAUAAUUCAAUAGAAGAGCCAACAAAAUUAGACUCUAUUGAUACAAUAAGCAAAUGUGAAUGCAUUAGUCUCCUUAUCACAAAAUUUCAAUACUCGAGAUCAUUAGAAAGCAAAAUUAAAUCAGUUGGUGGGGCGAUGGUUUGUUUUUUUCAGUAGCCAAUUAUAAUUAGCCCACAGUUUUCAAGCUAAGACCAUAUUAUUCCUAAUUAGGCUUCUAGUAACAUCCUGGAACAUGCUUGCUUUGCAAAGUGCAUAAUCUGAAAGAAAAAGCACUACUAACUCUGAACAAAUAUCAUUCACAUUUUGUCCACUGUUCAGAAUCACAGCUCAUUCAACCCUGCAUUAAUUAUUGGCUGCCCAGCAAACGAUAAUGAAGAAAACAUCUGAGAAUGAUCUCCAUAUUACAGAGGACAGGGCUCCGUUCUUAACCAACGCAGGAAGGCAACCAGGAUUUAAAGCAUCACAGCAACUUCUCUAAAAAGCAUUGAUUUUGAGGCGUAUGGUUCAUGUUUUGCCCCCCUCAAAGCAAACACGUGGGUGGGAGGACAUCACUGGAGUCGAUAAAAAAAGACAAGGAAAUCUUUCUGCUUAUACAUCACGCGUGUAGAACUCCUUGCAGUCCAAGCAGUGAAUCGCAUUCUGGAACGUUUUCAGGUCUUGCAUUCUAAUGGAGGGUCGGGCCAAAAUACAAACAAUACCAGCAUAGUUUAGCCUUUUCUGCCAGUAAUUAAGGAGUGGCAUUGCCACCUUUUAGAAAGUGGGGGAGUAGCUGUACAAAACCUGCAAAAUCACCAAAUAAUUAGUCAUCAGGAAAACGAGUGUGGCGCCAAGGGAAGGAGGUGUGUCUCUUUGGGAUACCCCAGGGGGCCAGUUUGGGAUACUUAGGGGGCGGAAUUUGGUCUCUAGGCCUGAGGAUUCCCCUCCCCCCACCCCCAUGGACACAUACAUCUCAGUUUUGCUCUUGUCGAAUUUUCUGGAUGCAUCUGGGAAGCGAUAAAAAGAAGGAAUGACUAGGAGUAGUAGGUGACUUUUGUUUGAUUGGAUCGUACCUCAUUCCCUAUGUAACUUUGUGGGAAUUAUCAUUUUGGCCUGAGUGGCUAAUAUCAAUAUUUUGCUGAUAUUUUAACUCAUGACUUUCAACCAUACUAGUCCUUAAGUAUUUUUAACAUCUACUUGGCAGUCGUCUCCUUGUUUUCCAUGUUCUAAUCCCCUUGUCUGUGGAUUUCGUCUUGUGUUUCUCAUUGCAGAAAGCCUCAUACUUAUUCACCACACUGACCUAUGUGGUACCUUGUAAAGGCCUUCUACUGAAAUUAUCUGUGCAUAUUCAUGGAUAGCCUAAUAGUGCCACUUUUGGAGUUACCUUCACAAUGCCACGGAUUUACAAAGUAAUGUGUAUUUGUCAAUGUGCAGAACUGGUGUAGGCGUGUUACGGGUUAUACAAAACAGCAAAUUGGUUUUCUUCCCCCUCGGCACAUUUUAGUUCAUUAGUGCCUAAUACCUAGAAAAGAACUGAAAAAUACACAAUCGGCUCCCAUCAGGCAAUCUUCAAGUUAUGUUUCACAACUCAGCAAUGUGUAUGUGAUUUGAAAAUUAAGCCUUAUCUUUAUUAAAAAUCCAGUUACUUAAUAUAGUUAAGUGUUUUUAAACAAAUCUGAAAAUUGUUUUGUCAGGUAUCUUGCAAAAUAAUGGAACUGAUCAGAUUUUCUCCAAAAACUUGGCUUGCCUAAAUAAUUUAUUUUAAACAAUCCUGCUUUGCUUUUAUAAAUCCCAUCCUCACCAAAGAAGCUUACAGCAAAUAAAAUUUAAAAUAAAGGCAAUAUUAAGAAGUCAAAAGGGUGUACAGAAAGCAGGAAAAACAGACAAUGGCAUAUCCAGUAAAAUAAAGCAGCAGCACUAGCCUCACUAUCAUCUCCCCAGCAGAUUCUUCAAACAAACAAACAAACAAACACAAAAAACAAACUGGAGAAACUUCAAAAAAGUAGCAUGUAAGUUUAGGAAACACUAGAGAUAACCCUGAGAUAACCCUGGAAGUCUGCAUAGGUUUUUCUGUGGUGUGGAUAAUGAUAGGAAAACACAAGAGGAUUAGUGGAAGAACACGGAACAUAGGCACUCCGUAAAGUGCGGCAGGCAAGAGAGCUAUAAAGGCCUCAUCUGAAUCGCAGCACAGGAUUAGAGUGUUCACCCAUAUUCAGUAUCCACUAGCUUUUGUUAUAGGUCAAUCCACCAAUAUAAAGUAGCUGAAUUAGUAAAAUUGUAAAUAAUUUUGCAGGGGAGCAAAUUGACUAAUUCUUGGUAAGGGGAUAGUAUUAAUUUACAUUCAGUCAGUAACUAAACAUUGCACAUAUAAUACCUACUUAUUUGUACCAAAUGUAGAGGAUAUGCUUUUUCAUUAGAAACAUCUGCAGUAUAGCUUUAAAAUAUUGUGUGGUAUAUCCAUUUUUGCAGAUGUAUAAUUUAAGAAUGUCAAUAAAACAGGCUGAUGACUUUAAAAUGACACCUACACAUUGUAAAUAAUUGUAUAUUUUCUCCGGGAUUUGUGCAGAGGGUACUGAAGAGUAUUUUAAUUAGGUAUUCUUCCAAUCAAAUAUGAAAUGUCCUGUUUAAUGAUCUAUCAUAAUUGGAAUGCUGUGUUGAUUUCCAAGUGAGCUUCUGUUUUUGCCUUCAAAUGUGAGAUUAUAAAUUAAAGGCCUGUAAAAAAGCAGUAUCAUUUAACAGUCUGGAAACUUCUGCUUUAUAAUCUGUGUAAAUCUGUGUAACUAUCCCAGCCUCUUUAUAUAUGACUUUUACAGCUACAUUUCUAUUGCUAGCAAAGCCUUCAGACUGGGUUUUUCCCCUUUAGAAGAAUAAUCAAGAGUUCUCUUUACUGGGCCUUUAAAUCGCUGAUUUGGGGUGAAUAUUCCCAGGAUUCUUUAUAGCAAGGAUUCCCAACUGUGCUCCCACAAGAGGUGCUGAAGUGUGCCCAUGGUGAGAAAUGACCCUGGAUCCCUGACGCAGGAAGUCUCAGGUCUCUAGCAUCUCCCGCAUCUCUGGGACGGGCUGGGGAAAUUCCUGCCACCCCAGACAGCUUCUGCCAGUCAUAGUUAACAGUACUGUGCUACAUGGACCUGUGGGAUGACCGCAUAUACCUCAGCUUCCUGUGCAACUAGGAAUCCACUCUUCUGUGGCUGUUGGUGCAGGUGUCCUGUGUAGGCAUGGCUAGGAGCCAUGGGCCGCACUCCAGCUUCCUGAACUUGCUCCUCCUCUUCACCAUGACAUCCACUUCUUUGCCUGCCUUUCGCUAUGGGCCAGACAGCGGUGGUGAUGAGACGGAGGAGCAGUAGCUGCCAGUGCCUGCUUGCUUACGGGCCUUCCGCCUGUCAAGUAAGUAGGUGAGGCGAAAGAGGAGGAGGAUUAAGAGCAGCUGGUGGAAGGAGGAUUUCAUUAAAGGGUCUUCCCUAAGAGCCCUCAGAACUCUGGAACUGGCACUGGGAGACUCCAUUCUACAAGUGGGUCUAGAGAUACCUGGCUGCCUGAUCAUUGGAAGUCAUGGAGGACGGUGUUGACCCAGUCUCUGCAGGCUCCUUGAGAUGGUUCUUUUGGGUGGCUUCUGUGGUUCAAGGUUCCCUUCUAACAGUCAAGAGAUGCCCACAAAGCCUGGUCCCAGUCCUGAGCCCAGCCACAGAUUCUGUAGGAAGCAAAAGAGCUGGGAAGCAACAUGCCUUGGCUGAUCUCAGAAUUUCAAGGCGCAUGCCUGCCUAUUAGCUGGAGUGUAUUGAAUACAUAUGCUUUUAAAAAGUGGAGUAAAGAAGGUCUGAAUUCAAAAAUAAAGUAACAUCAUCAUCAUCAACAACGACAACAGCUGUGCUCAAGAUACCAGAAAUCUGGAAAACAAAUGUGAUAUGGUAUUGAUUAACUGAUUCUUCUGAAGAUGUUCCAAAUGGGUGGUUCUAACUUUCAACUGUUUGCAAUAAUGAACAUUCCUUCCUUCCUUGAACUCCUCCCGUGAAUGCAGGCCAUGUAAGGUCUUCCUUCCACCCUCCUUAAAAGGAACAUCCCACGGCCCUCCACUCUUCAGCAUUUGUUUGCCCAAUUUCCUCUCACCCACAUAUAUCAGGAUAUAGCUAUGUAAAAAUCUAGACCUGGUAAUUUCAUCAAACUAACUGUCAAGCUGCCAAGCUGUUGCUCACAAGAGCCUCUGUCGCAGGAACGUACCCAGGCACGGGUUGAGUCAUCUGGUCAUCUGGGCUGCAGAGGGAGAUUGGGUCUCACGGCAGCCAAAGGCUUCCUCCCUUGGACUAUUCUGUGUAUAAACAAUGGCCGGAGAGUCAGCUGCAGUAACAACUGUGCUAACCGUUCCCAUGGACAAACUCCCUUUAUCCCAUGGCACGGUUGGUGCUCCAGAGGCUGAACUGCCACUGAGCCCCUCCUGGCAAGAGUUGCAGCGCUUUUGCUAGCUGAAGGUGCGAAGGCCUUAUCUUCUUAGAAAAAACUAAUGUCCCUUGGCCAUCCAUACAUUUGUUUUGGGGAUCAUCAUAGGAUGGGAUCAGAGAAACUACCAGUGAAGAAAAAGCACCAUUUCCUUCUGAUGUCAUCAUAGAGGCCCAGACACCAAAAGGUCAUUUAAAAAAAAUGGGAAAACUGUUGCAAAAUCUGAAUGUUAGGUUUGUACUGUGGUAUCCAGGUUUUUUUUUUUAAUGCUCAUUGUAAUCAUAAAAUGUAAUUCCUGCCAGACAUCUGGAACACAGUGAUGCACUGAGUGAUAUUCAAAGAAUGAUAAACAUGCAGAGUUUGGGAGUUGUGUGUGUCAUGAAAGAGAGUAAAAGUAUUGGAUUAAUUAUUCGAUGUUUUUACACAGCAGAUUGAGAAAUUUGGGAGGGUGCUCCCCCCAAAUUAAAAAAUAUGAAAUCAGUGCAAAAUCUAAUUAUAUCACAGGAGAUCUGUAUCACAGAUUGACAGCUGUGAGUUGUAAGAUCUAUGCGGUUUAUCUUUGUGCACAAGUGUUGCUAUUUGGAAGGUAUACAUUUAUAAGCAAUAAAUGGAAUUAGGAGACCUUAAA